CUAAAACCAUGAUAUAUGCGUACAUCUAUAUAUACAUACAUGUACCAAUACCAUAUAUAAUAUGACUUUAGGAUGAAAGGAUUGAUGAGAAUAUAUAAAGACUAUCUAAGAAAACAUUUAUAGUCUUUUGUGGGUUUUGGUUCUAGUGUAUAUAUAGCAAAUUAAUCAAGUCAAUCUUGGUCUAAUAUACACCAUAGAAAUUACAAUGCGUUGAAUAAUGUCAUGUCAGGCUGCUCAUAGUUGCCAUUGGCUUGGAAUUUGCUUUGACACCAAAGGUUUGUAUGUGAAAUUCGAUGGGAAUGCAGUGUUUCCACAUUACUAUAAAUUUAUUGGUUGGCCUUCUUUUCUGGUUACUUUUAGAAGAGUGGACUUUGAAGAAAGUCUUUUUGGUUUCAUGCAAAUUACAAAUUGCAAAUUGCUUCCCUAAAUGCCCACAACUGUAGGCACUUCAAUUUGUCUCCCCAGCAAAGGAUUUGCAGCCGGCAAGAUCUUCAAUGUGUUGACAUUUUGAAUCUGCAAUACAUAAUGGGUUUUAUUCAGAAUUAUCUGGAAGAUGUCAAGUUGCUUUCCACUUUUUUGUUAGAGACAGGUUUGUUCACUUCUUGUUUGAUGUAAUGCCACUGAGAAAAAGUGUCUUGUCAAUCUGCUUGUAUACACACCCAGCUUUUCCUUUGAGGUGGGUUCAAGUGAGAUUCAUUAUCAGAUGAAAUAUACUUCGUUCUUAUUUAAUUUACCUUUCUAUUUAUGAAAUUGCAGGGUUUCCCAGGUGCAGAGAGGAAGGAAAUUUGUUUUAUAUGUAAUUUUGCAGACUUUUUGAUAGGAUAAAACUUAGUUAUAGCAGACUUAUGCCCUAUUGGGUUUAAAACAUCAAGAGUGAUAUCUGGUCUUAUGGAGGAUACAGGGUAGGAAGUAAACAGCAAGAACCUUAUCCAGACAGACCAUUGAUUUCGACUCGCAUAUUAUUUUAUAGCAAGUAUUUCUUUAGAUGCCAUUUUUGACUGAGGAAAUCUUGAAGCACAUGGCUUAAGAGAGAUUGAAUUGAUUGGGAAUGCUUUCGAGGUUGGCAAGAUGGAUUAUAUUGGACUUUGCAUACUCUUUAGAAAAUAUUAGUGUGAUUGGAUUCAUGCAAGAUCUGUUUGGAAUCAUGCUUGGAAGGAGAGAAGAUAAAGACUUUUGUUGAUAAAGUUUCACUCUCUGGGGACUGGAUUAACCAUUGCAGAUGUGACAGAUAGAUAGUGUAGAUUUUAGUUUAAGAUAGAAGAUUUUAGCUUCUGCAUAACAAGCAUUUGAUCAAAACUGUGGAUUAAAGGUUAAGAGCCUAAGAAAUUACUAAGAAAAGUUGCCUAGCCAUUCGCAGAACUACUCUGUGAAUAAAAUACACAUAAGCAGAUUAUUGUUAGUACAAAAACCUACAAGACAUGAAAGAUAAGAUGGGACAGUGCUGAAAAUAGCAUUUAGCAAAGCAAUCUUCAUCUUGGUAGACAUACCCUGAAUAUGUCCUCAUGACAACAUGUGCUUAGGUGAUUGAUCUCCUUACCCUCUUUUAUGCUAUGCCAAGUCCAAGUAACAUCCUCCAUUUACAUUAUAUCAAUGCAUAUCUCAGUGUGAUCUGCACUUUAUACAGGUCACAAUUGUGAUCCACAGGCUGGAGAGUUAUUGGCACUAUCUUCUGUGUUACCUCCAUGGCAAAUAAAGACUUCUUUUUCAUGGUAAGAUAAGUGUAACCUGAAGUGGAACACCUUAUCCUUUUUGAGAUCUUAUCUUGUUUGCACCUCCUCUAUAUUUUUAUUGGUACGAUGCAUGAUAUAAUAAAAAAUGUUGGGACCUAGUAAUGAUUUUUCUUCCUCCUUUUUCUUUUGCAUCUUCCCUCAAAGCAAAAGAUCAAACAGAACCAAUCCUAAAUCUAUCAGAGGCCUGAAUGAUCUGAAUGACCAUAGAGCAUGCUUAUAUUAAUGCAAAUGGAUACACCAUUUUGAACUAAUGAUCAAUUUUGAGAAAUUUUAGGGAAGUAAUAUGUCCUUUUAUUUAAUGAAACCAAGGGAAAUUCUUUUGGUUUGAAUUUCUCUUUAGAUGUAUUUAUUAUUCAGUCACUGUUUACAUUUUCUUUCGAGCAUUUACUUAAUCUCUGAGCGUUAUUACUUAUCGAUUUACUCUAAUGUAUUAGGAAUGAGGUUGAUCAUGAGUUAGAAAUCUGUCGUGAUCUCUCGAUUUCAUAUGAAUUUAGUAUCUACCUCAUCUGUGAUUGUAACUCACAUUGACCUGCCAACAUAUGUUCUCAUGUUUCCUAUUUACUGUUCUUGUUUGUUCCUUUGGUUUCAUUCCCAUACAACAGAAGAUGAUAAUAAUUUGAGCACUGAUGUUCAUUAACGUUGAAGACAGAAACCGUGGGCCCUGCUUAUUUGCAACCGCAGCUGCAUUUGGCUUUUUCAGGCAACUGCCAUGAAGAAAGAACCUGCAAACUCUCAGAAAACUAAAACAAAAGAAAGAAGAAGACAAAGGAUGGGGGAAAGAAAAAACGAUCAUCAGAAGGGAUUUGAGGUCCAAGAUCAUGGUUAUCUAAAGUAGUCAUCUUGGUGAAUUUGCUCAGUUUCUUCCACCCAGUUGUCCAUGCUGAUGUCUGUUUCUGCUUUGUCAACUUAUCAAACUGCCUCUGCAAAUUCUCC